CUUCUCCCCCCUCCCCUCCAUUGACGCCAUUGCCCUUUCCGUGGAGGAUUGCUUGCUGGCGGAGUCAUGUGGUGUCAAAGCAGCAGCGUGGAAAUCGUAAGAGAGGCGAGAAAAACAUGAGAAAGAAUGAUAGAAGCAUUAAGCGGGAAGGUUAGGGGGCUUUAGAACUAAAUGAAAGAAGAAAGCCGAUCACCUGAAUUUGGAUCUGUGAUGAGUCGAUGGUGUGGACGAAGAAGGAAGGGGAGCUCAAUCUAUUCCAGCUACUCCGGGAGGGUUUGGAUGUGGAUUUUGGAGGGACAGAGACGGAAGUAACGUGCUUCCUUUCGCAAGGAUGAUGAUAGAAAAAUGAAGUAACAUGUUGAUUAUACAAUAAUGAUGAUUUCGUACUUCCUUAAUGAAAGAUCUGGGGAAUAGGGAAGCACGAGAUGAUGCUCGAGUUCCAUGGAUUUUAACUAAAACAUUAUGCUGAAAUAGGCACGAAAGAUAUUUCACUGUUUCCAACCAAUG
rnacentral:lncRNA from 1 species